UAAAAGCUGACAAAUGACACAAAUAUUAGAGAACCCAGAAAAGUAACAAUAUUUCAUUAUUAACUGUGUGACACCCCUCUAGGACACUUUUUUCCUACAUUUUCCCACAUACUCUUUGUUCAUUUUGUCAUAUGCCAUUAAUUUUUUAAGUUAUUUUCUAAAGAGAGAGGGUAUAGAAAAAUUGGUCUUUCCUCUAGCAUGAUUGAUUGACAUUUAUUUCUUACUACUGAUGGUUUAGAAAAGCUCCUCUCAGGCUCACUUCUUGCUGGUAAUGCAUGCGGUGAUUUCCUCAGCAGCACUGCUCCCCAGGCUGAGUCAUGGGAGAAUGCCAGCCCUUCCAGCCUGGGUGGCCCUGCUGUAGCUGGUCCAGCUCUGCCCAGUCUUUGCACCUCCAGUUCCCAGCCCCACCUCACCCUCAGCCGUGAGUGAAGCCUGAGUCAUGAGCCUUGAGCCUGAGCCUUGAAGCCUGGCUUAUGGUUGGCCCUGAGCAGGAAUCUGAGCAGUACCUUGUUCAUAUGCUUCUCCUUGGAGUCAAAGUCAGGGGCUGAAGCUCCAUGCAGGCCCCAGAAGCAAGCCGUCACUGGGACUAGCUGAUAUGGAGGUUGGAAGCUGCCCACUGACAAUCCCCACCACCAAAUCCACCAUAGUGUGUGUAGGGGAACCCUCAGACUGAGUUGCUUUCCAAGGCUUCUUCCUGGAGCAGGCGGGGGCUGCUCUUAGUGGGGAAGGGAAGGGACAAAGAGCAGGAGGGAGGGGUAGACACAAACACAUACACGUGAGGUUCCCUGAAUAAGAACAGAUUAAUACCACUAUCUCACCACCUUCUUCCAACCACCUAUAGCAUAAAGCCCAAAGUCUUCAGCAGGGCUUUCAAGAAACGCCAUGCUCCCAUUCAGUCUGUCUUUCUAGCAGAGCUCCCACCAUCCCCCCACCACACACGCACGCACGCACGCUGUCUGCGUUCCGGACAGACGGGAUUGAUUGUUGCUCAGAGCCUGCCUGGUGCUCUUCUGCCCUCUGGUUUGGGUUUUUUCAUCCUGUUGGGCCACCUUCCUUCCCCCAUGCCCACUUUCUGGAAAUCUCCCUCCCUACUCUAGGCCUGGCUCAAGUGACGGAAGUUCUGCCACCAAACUUUCCUGAUCCACAUGAGCAAAUGUGCUCUCUCCCUCCUCAGAAUUGCAGGGCACUUUUUAUGUCCUCUUUUAGCCUAACCAACUGUCAGAUUUUCAGCAAGGUGAGGGUAAGAACCAUCUAUUAUUCCCCUUGUAUCUCUGGGCUAGCCACAGGUACUCAAUUAACACGUGUUUAAGUAAAACAACUUAAGACAGAGAAAAGCACUUCACAUGUUCCUAAGGUUCCCAAAAGAAAACUGAGAGGCAUUUCUACCCUCAGAUGUGACGUCACAGGGAGAGAACAGAGAGAAGAGGGGGCAGGGCAGUGUAGGAAGUAGAGACGCCCAACAGAUCAGGGACCAGACAAGAGACAGGAAAUCUGAGGCAAUGCCAAGACCAGCCCUAGACUUCAAAUUCAUGACACUCUCUUACUCCCCUAAAAACAAUACAGACGUGUGUGUAUGCUGUUUUAAUUUUUACUCCCACAGCCUUUCCUGAAUGGAAUACAGACCACAUAUUAUGGCAUUUCUAGUAAGUGCGGCAUUUCUAUGACCCAGAUGCUUUUUUUCCUUUUUGAGAUUUUAAUUUUUAUUCCACUUCUAGGCUUCAGUUUCCAGUCUAUUGUUUUAGCAAUAAAGUAACUCCUGCAAUACCCCAGUGUGAAAAUUAAAAUGAUUUAGAGCAGUCACGGAGGACCAUUCCUGACAACCUGGCAAGAGUGAGUGUUGCUCUGGGGCUACUUAGCCCCUGUGCUCAUUGCUGACAUAUUGGAAAAUAAAAAGAUGACAGAUGAUUUUUAUUGCUUUCGAGAACAGUCCAACAAUGUAUAUAUAUAAUGAUAGCACAUAUAUUAUGUUUAUAACAUUUUUAAAGUUUUCUUUUCAAUGCAAAAAACCCCUGCUUUAUACUCAUAUUAAACUUUUAAUUUUUCAAAGUGUUAUCACAUCAUAUUUCAGUGAACGCUUUGGACUUGCUGAGACAGCAGAAAGUGAUGCCAAUCACAUCUGACCUUUGAGGAAACUGAAACAAAGUUUGGGGUUGUUAAGAAUGAAGCUAAUAUGAACACUCACAUGCAAGUCCUCUGAGGACACGUUUUUAUUUGGAGAGGGGAGGCAAAAACCUAGAAGUGGAAUUUUCUCACUUGGUAAAUGGUGAGCUCACUGAAACAGACCUUCAGAAAUCCCCUGCAACGAAAGCUGAACAGAAUCAUCUACUCAGGAAGACUUCUGGCAAUAGUUCCAACAGGAAGUACACUAUGCUGAAGAAAUGGGUCUUUAUGAGGUCUGAUUCCUUCCUAUCCUUUCACUGGUCUGCCCAGAGGUGUGUCAGCUCCCACCCUGCCUCUGCCAGAAGAGCAUCUUUUAGUCAGGACGUUCCACUUAUGCAAGGUGUGAUCCAGAGAGGCCAGGCUGAGGCCACACCGGGUUACCCUCUACCCCUGCCUCUGUCAUAUUGCGGUGCCUACAUGAUGAGGUGUUGGGGGUUGGGGAAGCCCAGCGUACUGCUGCUUCACUGGAACUGUCCGGUGUAGAGGAAGACAUUCAGAGGACCACAGAAAUCAGACUUUUUCAGAGGAGAACUAAAGCCUUCCGAUGACUGAUCCUCAGUUAACCAAUCUUCCACCAACUGAUGAGACAACCAAUAUCCAUAAAGAUGUCCUAAAGCAUUCAAGACUCUGAAGUGCCCUCGGCAUCAAAAAAGAAAGAUUAAAUCGUAUGUAGUAAAUGUUAAUAGUUUAAUAUAAGUACUUUUAUUAUAAUCUUCUACACCCAUUGGUCUCCAAACGUUUUUGAUUGCAAGCUUGAAUCAGUUUUUAAAAACUGGCAUCCCCCAAUAUAUUUACACUUAUUUCUUUAUAAAUUAUACAUAUCAAUACACUCCUAAAAUGUUCACGAUGAAGCACACAUACACAUAGAACAUUUUAAAGGGUAAGAUUACCUCCUUUCUUGAUUAAAAAAGAAAUUUUUAACAAAGUGGAAAUACAGUCUUCGCCUUUAUCCGUGAUUUCGCUUUCCACAAGUGUCAGUUACCUGCAGUUGACUGCGGUCUGAAAAUCUUAAAUUGAAAAUUCCAGAAAUAAACAAUUCAUAGGUUUUAAAUUGCAUGCUGUUCCGAGUAGCGUGAUGGAAUCUCGCCAUCCUGCUCCGUCCUGCCCUGGACGUGAAUCUUUCCUUUGUCCAGUGCAUCUGCCCUUACUCACUUAGUAGCUGUCUUGGUUAUCAGCUCUACCAUCAUGGUAUUGCAGUGCUUGUGUUCAAGUCAUGCUUAUUUUACUCAGUGGCCCCAAAGUGCAAGAGGAGUGAUGCUGGCAAUUUGGAUAUGCCAUAGAGAAGCCACGACGUGCUUCCUUUAAGUGAAAAGGUGAAAGUUCUCGACUUAAUAGGAAAGGAAAAAAAUCGUACACUGAGAUCACUAAGAUCUACAGUUAAGAACGAAUCUUCUAUCCUUGAAGUUGUGAAGAAGGAAAAAGAAAUUCGUGCUAGUUUUGCUAUCGCACUGCAAAUAUGUAUGUAUAGAAAAAACAUAGUAUCUUUAGGGUUCAGUCCUAUUGGCAGUUUUAGGCAUGCACUGGGGGUCUUGGAACAUACUCCGCAUGGAUAAGGGGGGACUACUGUAAAGGGAUACUUUCUUAAUGUGAUAAAAGACAUUUAUCUGAGCCCUUCAUGCUUAUUAGCACAGAAUUUAGAAGUAUUUGUACUAAAGUCGGGGCAAGACAUGGAUAACACUAUCACUACUGUUGUUUAAUAUUGUUCUGGAAGUACCAGCUCUAGUUACAAAAGGCAAGUAAAUUACAGCAUAACAUUUGAAAGUAAUAUUUAAUCAAGUAUAACCAAUCUCAUUAUUUAUGUAGGUGAAUAAACUUAUAUGCGUAAAAACCUGAGAGAAUUAACUGCAAAACUAUUUUCAACAGCAAGAGAAUUUACUGAGGUAAUGCAGUAAAAAAUUAAUGCACAAAAAUCAAUAGCUAUCACAUAUACAAAUAACAGCCAGUUAGAAGAUGUAAUAGAAGGUAAUGCUCCAUCUCCCAUAAAACAAACUCAAAUAUCAGGGGUAAACCUAGAUAUUUAUCACGCCUGAUAGAUAAACAGAAAUCUAAGGGCCCCUAGGGCUUGAACAACUGGAAAGACAUACUGUAUCUUGGCUAAGAAGACAACAUCCUAAAGUUAUCAAAGAUUCCUCAGUCUACAAAUUUAGUGUAAUUUCAAUUAAAAUACCAACAAGAUUCUUUCUGUGUUCUAAGAUUCAAACAGAAAAACAGACAGCGAGUAAAAAAGUUGAGUAAGGAGGGGUGACCAUACCUACAAGAUAUGAGAAAAUGUAUUACAAAGUUAUCAUAAUGACAGCAGUAUUGUGAAUGAAUAGAUGAACAGAUCAGUGAAACCAAAUAGGAAGGCAUACAUACAUCCAAAUACGCAUGUGAAUUUAAUAUAUGAGAAAGGUGGCAUGUGAAACGGAUCAUUCAGUGAACGAGGCCCUGGAAGAAAAUGGGCGGAAAGAUGGGAUAAACUGUAAAGUUAGGCAACUGGUUUAGAUCUUGUUUAACCAGCAGGAAGCAGCAGCAUCUUGAGGUGCGUCCUCCUAUAGCACCAUGAUGUUCACAGAUCCCCUUAAGGGCACUGACUCUGUAACAUCAAUCGUUACAUUCUAGGCAUGCACACCUGUGUCUGGAGCUACACACAGUAGCUGCUCAGUAAAGGUCCACACCCUCUUCAGCUCUGAAUACCACCGCAGGGAAGGGUAUGCCAACCAGGAAGGGAAUCAAGGCUCAGAAUUAAAGAACACAAAUAGAAACAGAAAAAGGGAAGGCAAGAAUCAUCUAGCUUGGCACACACCCAGGAGACCUUGUUGAUGGGCCUAAGAGAAGAUAAAGGAAGAGGUGCCUACAAUAGAGAAUCACGGAGAUCUCACCACAGAGAGAUCUGAUGUGUCACCUGGGAACAACCACAGCUGCAAGACAGCCACCCCAGGAGCCCAGAGGCAUGGCUCUGUGUGAUCUUGAGCAAGCCAAGUACUUGUUGGGGAUACUUCUUCCUGCUGAGCCCAGCUCAUAGGGUUCACACAAGAGGGACAUGAAAUGACGAAUGAGAGAACGCUUUGCAAACUACGAUCGGAGGUAACUGUUCGCUUUGGGUUGAGCCUUGCUUGUAACAUGCACUCGCCUCACUUUUAUUUCCAAAGGAGCUGUGGACUCGGUAGACCCAGAUAGAAUCCAGAUACCCUCCCCCAAAGGAAGUUAUCAUUGGGAGCGAUGGUAUAGUCAGCAUCUUCUUGCUGCCAUCCAAAUGCACGUCCCUGGAAGGAGCAUUUGCCCUGUGAGCCUGCUGCUUCAUUUGCCUUCAUCUUGGCAGGCAGUGAGGCAUCUUUCGGAACUUGAUGAAAGACACGGAGCUCAAGCCAGAACACAGCAGCAGUGAGGGCUUUCCUAGAUGCGGAGCUCACAUCAAAGCUGUCUUCUUCUGUGCUGACACGUGUAACUCUUUAGCCGGCCUGAUAACACCCACAGAGACAGCCUCUCAGGUUCCUGUGGGGAGAAAACAGAGCCAGAGAUACGCUGUACUGAGCUGGCAGAUACCGUAUUCUUUCUGUAAAAGUCUGCUGGGAAAGCAACUAGGCCAAAAAUCCAUUAUGCCGGAUAUACUGCAAGGAUGACCAAGGCUGCCUCAGGGGUCCUGGUGGCUUUAGUAUCUAUUUCCAGAGAAAGAGUAGGAAGGGAUCAAGAGCAAAGAACAUGGGAAAAUAUGCUGCCCUAUCACUGGAGUUCAUGUAUUUCCCAGAAAUUCAAGAUUCCAGGAAAAGGUGGCAUGACAUAAAAGGAAAAAAGCGUACUGGAUUCAGAAUUGGAUUCAAAUCCAGACCUGGUAUUUGCUACGUGUCCAAACUUGGGCAAGUGACUUAAGCAUUCUGAGCCUGAGUUUCCUCAUCUGUAAAAGGGUGAUAAAAAUUCCUACUAUGCAGGAUGUUAGGAAGAUUAAAUAACUGUACAUAAAAUAGUUGGCACAUAGAAAUGUAGGGUAUUUCUCAUCAUUCCUCCUAGAGAGACAGAGACCCUUCUGACUAAUCAUAUCUUCCCUAGAUAUUCCCACAUUGAUGUGGGGUCAGUGAGCUGAGGAGUCGAAAGAAAGAUUUCUUAGACUCUUAAGAUCUGGCAGUAGUGCUCUUUUAU